GACGAACGCUUGCGGCGUGCCUAAGCUAUGCAAGUCGAGCGGGGUCUGGAUGGAGUCUUCGGACGAAGCCCAGACCUAGCGGCGAACGGGUGAGUAACACGUGAGCAACCUGCCCCGCCGUCCGGGAUAACAGCCCGCAAGGGCUGCUAAUACCGGAUACGAAGCCCGGCCACAUGGACGGGUUUGGAAAGGGGAAACUCGCAGCGGGAGGGGCUCGCGGCCUAUCAGCUAGUUGGUGAGGUAACGGCCAACCAAGGCGGCGACGGGUAGCCGACCUGAGAGGUUGGACAGCCACACUGGGACUGAGACACGGCCCAGACUCCUACGGGAGGCAGCAAGCGGGAAUAUUGCACAACGGGGGAAACCCUGGUGCAGCGAGGCCGCGUGAGGGAUGAAGGCCUUCGGGUUGUAAACCUCUGUUGAUGGGGAAGAAGCUCUGACGGUACCCAUCGAGGAAGCUCCGGCUAACUCCGUGCCAGCCGCCGCGGUAAUAC
rnacentral:rRNA from 1 species